rnacentral:tRNA from 3 species
GCGCUCGUAGCUCAGCUGGAUAGAGCAACGGCCUUCUAAGCCGUGGGUCGCAGGUUCGAAUCCUGCCGGGCGCG